UACGAUUCAUCUUCUCCUCACUACUACCUCUCCGGUAAUUUCUCGGAGAGUACAUUUAUGCUAUAUAUAUAUAUAUAUAUAUAUAUAAGCAAGGGUGACUCAAUAAAAUUAAUGGCCUGAAGCUGAUUUUUAAUAGAGGCGGCGGUAGCAGAAGAAUCGAGGGAAGCUGAGAGCGGGCACAGAGAGGCGGCUCUCAGUUUCCUUGUGAAUGGCAACGCACAUAACAAGAAUGGUAGAAGUGUAAUUUAGAUGAACUAGAGGGGCUAAUAUUGAAAUGAAUUGAACUUGUUGAAAUGAAGAAAAUGGUGGUGAGGAUUAGUCCUAUUUACAUAUG